rnacentral:rRNA from 1 species
UACGUAGGGGGCGAGCGUUGUCCGGAAUCAUUGGGCGUAAAGAGCGUGUAGGCGGCUCGGUAAGUCCGCUGUGAAAGUCCAGGGCUCAACCCUGGAAUGCCGGUGGAUACUGUCGGGCUAGAGUCCGGAAGAGGCGAGUGGAAUUCCUGGUGUAGCGGUGAAAUGCGCAGAUAUCAGGAGGAACACCAACGGCGAAGGCAGCUCGCUGGGACGGUACUGACGCUGAGACGCGAAAGCGUGGGGAGCAAACAGG